AGCUAACAUCUGUGCCAAUCUUCCUCUAUUUUGUAUGUAGGGUGCCACCACAGCUUUGCUUGAUGAGUGGUGUGUGGGUCUGCACCCAGGAUACAAACCUGCAAAUCUGAGGAUGCUGAACGCUGAAACUUGAGAACGCUGAAGCAGAACCUGUGAACUUAACCACUAUACCACUGGGCCGGCCCCUCUUUAUGAUUCUUUUUGAGCUAAGUCAGCUCCUCCAUCAGGCUUCCCAUUUGCAAUGCUAUGUCAAUCUUGUUCAGAGUCAACUCAUCCAAGACUUCUCAGGACAAUGCUACCAACCUCAACACUCUGGGUGAAGGGCAACUUUACUGCGGUAUUUAAAUAAAGCACAAUUAGAAGAACAAACACAACUUAGAGAAUAAUGGGACUCUCCUCAUCAAGUUGUAAUAAAACAUCCCACAAAGGGGAGGUUAAAGAGCAUAGCUCCAGAGUGUAAAGACCUGGGUUCAAAUUGCUCCUCUGCCACUUAUAACUGUCACCUUGGGCAUGUUUCUUCUCUAAACCCUAGUUAAUGCUUCAUUAAAAUGGGAAUAUUGUGAGGAUUAAAUGAGUUAAUAUGCACAGAAGUGCUUAGCACAGUGCCUAGCACAUCGUCAAUGUUGAAUAAUGCUGUUUGCUGUGUACCCUGGAGGUGACAGAUAAUGAUGAUAAGGAUGACUAACACCUUCGCUGGGCUCUCCUCGCUGCUGAGACCUACCUUCCCCUAGAGUGGUUCCCAUCUUCCCACUGGUUCACAUUCAGUUCUCCUUACUCCUUCCAGCUCUACAAGCUGUAAAAACACCUUCCAGAGUCACGUAGGGGAGAGAGAUUGUCCGCUGAAGACUCCAGAGGGGAACUGAGUCAAAUUCUCCCACGUUCACAUCACCUGGAGGACGUUUCCUUUCCCCCAGCCUCUGAUUAAUGAGACCAGACUGGUUCCUUCUGAUUAAGUAAACUAGACUUCAUUGUUCUGCUUUAUCUAUAUCAACACUGACGAAUAAAUUCUGUACUAGUUUGGAUCCAAUUCUGCAGUUUUUGUUCCAGGAUUAUCUUUUGUUUAGAUGCUGAUCGUAUAUGUUUGUUUUUCUAAAACAAUGAUUAAAAUUUAUCUUGUUAGUUAUCAGCCUACUCAGUCACUUAGUAAGUAAGAGGGGGAUGUGUAACAUUAAAAUUCCUCUAUCAUCCAGCAUGAGCACAUGAGGUUGUUUAAAAAUGGAUGUCCAGUGAAAACAUCUUAAAGUACCUUGGAGGUACUUUUAUAUAAUGAAAAAGGUAAUAUAAAAUGUAAUUAAAUAUUUAAGAGUAUCAUAACUUAAAAAUAUGCCCUGAAAAUAUCUGUUUAACAGUAUGAGUUGCUCCUUUUGAAAACUUAUAACACUUAUAGAAAUGAAUGAGGAGGUGUCAUAUCUUCCAAAAGGAGUUGACUAAUUCUCCUCACCGCUUGUUAAAUAAUCAGUGUAUACCACGUGUGGAGCAAUGACACUUUUGGCAAUUAAAAAUGAUGAUGACUUACCUUAUUCCAUUUGCUCCAAUGCAACAAAGAAAAAUCAUGUGUAAAACUUUCAGUUCAUAAAAGCUAAGUUUAUUUUCAAUAGAUUAUGUAAAGACAUAUAUAGUUGGUGCUAAGUAAAUAUUUGUUGAAUGAAUGGAUACACAAAUAAAUCUGUGGUGCUCCACAUGUAUACAUAAAUAUUUCAAUUGAACAUUGUUUGAAAAAAAUAAAAAUUAUGUUUCAACUGGUCAAAAGAAA
rnacentral:lncRNA from 1 species